rnacentral:pre_miRNA from 1 species
AGAGGAAUAGCUGGGUCAAAUGGUGGUUCCAUUCCCAGAUUUCCAAGGAAUCUCCAUACUGCUUUCCAAAUUGGCUGCACCAAUUUGCAGUCCCAUCAGCAAU